rnacentral:miRNA from 1 species
UCACCGGGUGUCUUGCAGUGAG